rnacentral:SRP_RNA from 1 species
GGCCGGGCCCGGUGCACGGGUGUCCCGUGAACCUGGUCAGGGCUUGACCGCAGCAGCCAUAAGCGGCCGAUGCCCGGUGCCGCCGGUGUCCUGGCCGUU